rnacentral:rRNA from 1 species
GACGAACGCUGGCGGCGCGCUUAACACAUGCAAGUCGAACGGAAAGGCCUGCUUUCCCUUGUGGAUUGCGGGUACUCGAGUGGCGAACGGGUGAGUAACACGUGAGUGAUCUGCCCCCAACUUGGGUAUAAGCCUGGGAAACUGGGUCUAAUUCCCGAUAGGACUGCAGGGUGGUGCCUGUGGUGGAAAACGAUUUUCUAGUGGUUGGGGAUGAGCUCGCGGCCUAUCAGCUUGUUGGUGGGGUAAUGGCCUACCAAGGCGGCGGCGGGUAGCCGGCCUGGGAGGGUGGACGGCCACAGUGGGACUGAGAUACGGCCCAGACUCCUACGGGAGGCAGCAGUGGGGAAUAUUGCACAAUGGGCGGAAGCCUGAUGCAGCGACGCCGCGUGGGGGAUGACGGCCUUCGGGUUGUAAACUCCUUUCGACCGCGAGGAAGCCACCUGGUUGGAAGGGUGGUGACGGUAGUGGUAGAAGAAGCACCGGCUAACUACGUG